CUGGCGGCGUGCUUAACACAUGCAAGUCGAGCGAUGAAGCUUCUUCGGAAGUGGAUUAGCGGCGGACGGGUGAGUAACACGUGGGUAACCUGCCUCAUAGAGGGGAAUAGCCUUCCGAAAGGAAGAUUAAUACCGCAUAAGAUUGUAAUAUCGCAUGAUAUAGCAAUUAAAGGAGUAAUCCGCUAUGAGAUGGACCCGCGUCGCAUUAGCUAGUUGGUGAGGUAACGGCUCACCAAGGCGACGAUGCGUAGCCGACCUGAGAGGGUGAUCGGCCACAUUGGGACUGAGACACGGCCCAGACUCCUACGGGAGGCAGCAGUGGGGAAUAUUGCACAAUGGGGGAAACCCUGAUGCAGCAAACCGCCGCGUGAGUGAUGACGGUCUUCGGAUUGUAAAGCUCUGUCUUCAGGGACGAUAAUGACGGUACCUGAGGAGGAAGCCACGGCUAACUACGUGCCAGCAGCAGC
rnacentral:rRNA from 1 species